rnacentral:misc_RNA from 1 species
GUACAGCUCACUUUCACUUUCAUCUUCUACUGCAAUACAUCCCAGCCUUUUCCUUCUAGUCGGUUCUCUCUCUAUCUCUCUCCCUAUCAAUACUCUCCAAAGCACCACUGCCACCACCGUUAGCUCUCAUUCACACAAUGCUUUGACCAUUGACCACCCACAUCUCCACCUCCUCCUUCUCCUCCAAAAACCAAAAUGGGGACCUGCACAUCAAAGCCUCCCAAAGCCAACCCUUAUGCCUCCCAAAACGAACCUGUAAAUGAUCAGUCUAACCCGAACCAGACUCCUAUAUCUCCACUCGCACCGCUCCCUAACCCCAAACAGUCCCCUUUCUUCCCAUUCUAUACUCCAAGCCCUGCUUAUCCGUUCAAGAAAUCUCCUUCUGCCGAAUUCACACCAGCUAACUCCACUCCUACGCCGUUGCGGUUCUUUAAGAAGCCGUUCCCUCCACCGUCCCCUGCUAAGCAUAUUAGGGCCGUCCUCCGCCGGCGGGAACAGGGGAAGAAGAAGAAGAAGGCGGCAAUUCCCGAGGAAGGGGAAGGUGAUAGCGAGGAUGCGACUGGGAUAGACUUGGAUAAGAGGUUUGGGUUCUCGAAAGAGUUCACGAGUAGGUUGGAGGUAGGGGAAGAGGUGGGCCGAGGGCAUUUCGGGUAUACUUGUUCUGCCAAGUUCAAGAAAGGUGACCGUAAAGGGCAGCAAGUUGCUGUUAAAGUCAUACCCAAAUCCAAGAUGACAACAGCUAUUGCAAUUGAGGAUGUGAGAAGGGAGGUGAAAAUACUAAGGGCCUUGACAGGACAUAGCAACCUUGUACAGUUCCAUGAUGCAUUUGAAGAUUUUGAUAAUGUCUACAUAGUAAUGGAGUAAGCUUGGAAAGCACACAAUAUUAUUUAAAUCAUUUAAUUUUGUGUGGCAUGCUUAUUAUUAACUGAGUUAAACUUCUAUCUCUUGGAUGAUUCAGAUGAGGGUCAUUGACACUGUUCCUGUUUGAUUCCAAACCAUUCCCCCUAUAUUCAAGCAUGAGGAUGUGCUUCCUUAAAUUUUGUUUUGCUUCCUUAAAUUUUGUUUAUGUGGAUAUCUUUAAUACAAAUUGUUGCUAGGGUAUAUACUACUUGCCCACAGCUUUAUGAGAUUGUUGACCUUAUGAAAGUUAAUUAGUUAUUAUGAAUUUUUCAGGUUAUGUGAAGGAGGGGAGCUGCUAGAUAGAAUACUUUCAAGGGGUGGGAAAUACUCAGAAGAUGAUGCAAAGGGCGUCUUGGUGCAGAUACUAAAUGUUGUUGCCUUUUGUCAUCUACAAGGUGUGGUGCACCGGGAUCUCAAACCAGAGAACUUUCUGUAUACUUCUAAGGAUGAGAAUUCUCAGCUGAAAGUCAUAGACUUUGGCUUAUCGGAUUUUGUCAGACCAGAUGAAAGGCUUAAUGACAUUGUGGGAAGUGCGUACUAUGUGGCACCUGAAGUCCUCCAUAGAUCUUAUAGCACGGAGGCUGAUGUAUGGAGUAUAGGUGUUAUAGCAUAUAUUCUAUUGUGUGGUAGUCGUCCAUUUUGGGCCCGUAAUGAGUCCGGAAUUUUUCGGGCAGUCUUGAAAGCUGAUCCAAGUUUUGAUGAAGCACCUUGGCCUUCUUUAUCUCCGGAAGCAAAAGACUUUGUAAAACGCCUAUUGAACAAGGACCCCAGGAAGCGAAUGACUGCAGCUCAGGCCUUAGGUCAUCCCUGGAUCCGGAAUCAUAAUGAUGUAAAAGUACCUCAUGAUAUUUUAAUUUUCAGACUCAUGAAGGCAUAUAUGCGCUCGUCAUCUUUGCGUAAGGCUGCUUUAAGGGUGUGUAUUUUGUGAUGACAAAUAAACAGAAAAAAAAAUAUAUGUUUUUUUGUGCAAUUUUGUGUAUAUACUCCAUCAUAUAAUUUAUGUCUUCUGAUGUUGAAAUAUUUUAAAAUUCGUAUCUUUUGAUUUGAAUCUUCACUUCUGUAUUUUCUCAGUGAUACAAUUGAUUAAGAGGCUUCCUGCUUUAAACUAGGAUCCAGUAUAGCAAUUGAAAAUUUUCUGUACAUCCAUUUCCCUAAUUAUUAUAAGCAAUAAGCUUUAUGUCACUUUGCUUCUAAUCACCUAUCUUGUUUUUUGGUCCUUGCAGGCAUUGUCUAAGACGUUGACUGUGGAUGAACUUCAUUAUUUGAAGGAACAGUUUGCAUUAUUAGAGCCAAACUACAAUGGCAGCAUAACUUUGGAAAACUUAAGAAUGGUUGGUAUCCCUUCUCUAUCCGUCUCUUUUCCCCGCUCACACGCAUGGCAAAAGACGCAUACACGUACAUUUUUCAGGUAGGAUGACUGGAUAAUGGUAAGUGUUGUACAUUCUUUUUGUUUGGAGCAGGCCUUGAUGAAAAAUGCAACGGAUGCAAUGAAGGAUUCACACAUCCCCGAUAUUCUGUCAUCGGUAAGAACCAAGUUGCAUAAUGGAUUCGUGGGCUGUUCCAGAAUUUAUAUAGCUAUAGGCUUCAAGUUUAUAUCUGUACCUACCUCUUGAUUUUCGUUUCAUGACAGCUAAAUGCACUUCAAUACAGAAGAAU